AACGAACGCUGGCGGCAGGCUUAACACAUGCAAGUCGAGCGCCCCGCAAGGGGAGCGGCAGACGGGUGAGUAACGCGUGGGAAUCUACCCAUCUCUACGGAAUAACGCAUGGAAACGUGUGCUAAUACCGUAUACGUCCUUCGGGAGAAAGAUUUAUCGGAGAUGGAUGAGCCCGCGUUGGAUUAGCUAGUUGGUGGGGUAAAGGCCUACCAAGGCGACGAUCCAUAGCUGGUCUGAGAGGAUGAUCAGCCACACUGGGACUGAGACACGGCCACGACUCCGAGGGGCGGCAGCAGGGGGGAAUAUUGGAGAAUGGGGCAACGCCUGAUCCUGCCAUGCCGCGUGAGUGAUGAAGGCCCUAGGGUUGUAAAGCUCUUUCACCGGUGAAGAUAAUGACGGUAACCGGAGAAGAAGCCCCGGCUAACUUCGUGCCAGCCGCCGCAGUAAUAC
rnacentral:rRNA from 1 species